UUUAUGGAGAGUUUGAUCCUGGCUCAGGAUGAACGCUGGCGGCGUGCCUAAUACAUGCAAGUCGAGCGAACGGACGAGAAGCUUGCUUCUCUGAUGUUAGCGGCGGACGGGUGAGUAACACGUGGAUAACCUACCUAUAAGACUGGGAUAACUUCGGGAAACCGGAGCUAAUACCAGAUAAUAUUUUGAACCGCAUGGUUCAAAAGUGAAAGACGGUCUUGCUGUCACUUAUAGAUGGAUCCGCGCUGCAUUAGCUAGUUGGUAAGGUAAC
rnacentral:rRNA from 1 species